CCACUUGAGCCACAGUGCCACUUCUGCCUUCAGGAGGGUUGUGCGGAGAAAUACAAAAGGUGAUAAAUACCAGAAAGUAAAGAUCAUUUGAGGACCAUUUUAGAGGCUGAUUACCAAACUCCUCACAUUGGAUAUAAUUGUUGGUUAUCUGACUACCAAAUUCCUCCCCCUGAUGGACAUCAUCAUUGGUGGUAUCUAGCCAAACCAAAUUUGAGUUAUCUGUUGUUUAGGUUUACAUAGCUAAUGGAGAUGAGUUUGAAAGGAAAACAAGAAGUCCUAUUAUUUUCAUGUUUGUUGUGCAUCAGAUCAUCACCAUCAUUUGGAGGUAGUACCGCUGUCCACAACUUACCAUAUUUCCUCAAAUAAGAGGAAGAUAUUUAGCAAGAGUACUU